GACGGAGGAUGCAAGUGUUAUCCGGAAUCACUGGGCGUAAAGCGUCUGUAGGUGGUUCGAAAAGUCCACUGUUAAAAAUUGAGGCUUAACUUCAAAGAUGCCGUGGAAACUUUCAAACUAGAGUAUGGUAGGGGUAGAGGGAAUUUCCAGUGGAGCGGUGAAAUGCGUAGAUAUGCGGAGGAACACCGAUGGCGAAGGCAAUCCCCUGGACCUGUACUGACGCUCAUGCACGAAAGCGUGGGGAGCAAACAGG
rnacentral:rRNA from 1 species